GAUUUACAAAUAAGUCAACAUGACUGAAAUGGUCAAUUGACCCCCUAAGGAGUUAUUGUCCUUUAUAGUCAAUUUUUAACAAUUUUUUUUUAAAUUUGUAAAUUUUUACUAACAUUUUCCACUGAAACUACUGGGCAAAGUUCAUUAUAGAUAGAGAUAACUGUAAGCAACAAGAAUGUUCAGUAAAGUAAGACGUACAAACACAUCACCAC
rnacentral:lncRNA from 1 species